GACGAACGCUGGCGGCGUGCUUAACACAUGCAAGUCGAGCGGUAAGGCCCUUUCGGGGGUACACGAGCGGCGAACGGGUGAGUAACACGUGGGUGACCUGCCCUCAGCUCUGGGAUAAGCCCGGGAAACUGGGUCUAAUACUGGAUAUGACUCCAUGACGCAUGUUGUGGGGUGGAAAGCCUUGUGCGGCUGAGGAUGGGCCCGCGGCCUAUCAGCUUGUUGGUGGGGGGA
rnacentral:rRNA from 1 species